rnacentral:rRNA from 1 species
ACGGAGGAUCCAAGCGUUAUCCGGAUUUACUGGGUUUAAAGGGUGCGCAGGCGGAUCAAUAAGUCUGGGGUGAAAUAUUUUAGCUUAACUAGAAUCGUGCAUUUGAUACUGUUGAACUAGAGUAUAAUUGACGUGACUGGAAUGUGAUGUGUAGCGGUGAAAUGCUUAGAUAUGGGACAGAACGCCGAACGUGAAGGCAGCUAACGAAAUUAUUACUGACGCUCAUGCACGAAAGCGUGGGGAUCAAACAG